rnacentral:lncRNA from 1 species
GCGCUGCUCAGGAACUACCCGGGGCUGCAGAUUCCCAUCGUCUGGAGGCAGGAAAAGCUGCCUGCAGUGUGUUCGUGUGCCUGUACAGAAUUCUCUUGCCAACCUUUGCAGCGAGAGAUAGUAGCUAAAUGCUCAGAAUUAAAGAGCAACCCCCAAAACCUGGAAAAGAGUCUAAGUGAACAAAGCCUGCCUGGAAUGGAAGAGCUCUGAGUGAAGAGAGUCAGCACAGAGAAGCAAACAGAGGACCCUGUAAGGACUACUUAUCAAACUGUAAUCAACAACAACCAUUAACAACCAACAACCAACCAACCAACCAACCAACCAACCAACAAUCAACAACUCCACCUCUCAGGGCCCUUUUUUAUAUAUUCCCUGAAAACUUUCCAGAAUUCCAAACACCACACAAUCGCAUAAAACUGUCUUCAAGUGUCAGAAUCAUGCCCCCACCAGAGCUCAAGGAAAAUCAGUCAGCUGCUUCGUACACGCUGAAGCAGCCCCAUGUCCCACACCUGGGAAUAAAAUGAAAGCACGUUC